UACAGAGGGUGCAAGCGUUGUUCGGAAUUAUUGGGCGUAAAGCGCGUGUAGGCGGCUUUGCAAGUCGGGUGUGAAAGCCCUCAGCUCAACUGAGGAAGUGCGCCCGAAACUGCAGAGCUUGAGUGCCGGAGAGGGUGGCGGAAUUCCGGGUGUAGCGGUGAAAUGCGUAGAUAUCCGGAGGAACACCGGUGGCGAAGGCGGCUUCCUGGACCGACACUGACGCUGAGGCGCGAAAGCUAGGGGAGCAAACGGG
rnacentral:rRNA from 1 species